rnacentral:rRNA from 1 species
UGGGGAAUUUUGGACAAUGGGCGCAAGCCUGAUCCAGCCAUGCCGCGUGCGGGAAGAAGGCCUUCGGGUUGUAAACCGCUUUUGUCAGGGAAGAAAUCUUCUGAGUUAAUACCUCGGGAGGAUGACGGUACCUGAAGAAUAAGCACCGGCUAACUACGUGCCAGCAGCCGCGGUAAUACGUAGGGUGCAAGCGUUAAUCGGAAUUACUGGGCGUAAAGCGUGCGCAGGCGGUUUUGUAAGACAGAGGUGAAAUCCCCGGGCUCAACCUGGGAACUGCCUUUGUGACUGCAAGGCUUGAGUGCGGCAGAGGGGGAUGGAAUUCCGCGUGUAGCAGUGAAAUGCGUAGAUAUGCGGAGGAACACCGAUGGCGAAGGCAAUCCCCUGGGCCUGCACUGACGCUCAUGCACGAAAGCGUGGGGAGCAAACAGGAUUAGAUACCCUGGUAGUCCACGCCCUAAACGAUGUCAACUGGUUGUUGGGAAGGUUCCUUCUCAGUAACGUAGCUAACGCGUGAAGUUGACCGCCUGGGGAGUACGGCCGCAAGGUUGAAACUUAAAGGAAUUGACGGGGUCAUAGCUGUUUCC